CUCUCUCUCUCUCUCUCUCUCUCUCUCUCGUUGGCUGGUUUUUAUUUCCUCUGUGUGUGUGUGUGUGUGUGUGUGAGAGAGAGAGAGAGAGAGAGAGAGAGAA